rnacentral:rRNA from 1 species
ACACGGGCCAUUGCCUUAGUACGGCGAGUGAGCGGCAAAAGCUCAAAUUUGAAAUCUGGUACCUUCGGUGCCCGAGUUGUAAUUUGGAGAGGGCAACUUUGGGGCCGUUCCUUGUCUAUGUUCCUUGGAACAGGACGUCAUAGAGGGUGAGAAUCCCGUGUGGCGAGGAGUGCGGUUCUUUGUAAAGUGCCUUCGAAGAGUCGAGUUGUUUGGGAAUGCAGCUCUAAGUGGGUGGUAAAUUCCAUCUAAAGCUAAAUAUUGGCGAGAGACCGAUAGCGAACAAGUACAGUGAUGGAAAGAUGAAAAGAACUUUGAAAAGAGAGUGAAAAAGUACGUGAAAUUGUUGAAAGGGAAGGGCAUUUGAUCAGACAUGGUGUUUUGUGCCCUCUGCUCCUUGUGGGUAGGGGAAUCUCGCAUUUCACUGGGCCAGCAUCAGUUUUGGUGGCAGGAUAAAUCCAUAGGAAUGUAGCUUGCCUCGGUAAGUAUUAUAGCCUGUGGGAAUACUGCCAGCUGGGACUGAGGACUGCGACGUAAGUCAAGGAUGCUGGCAUAAUGGUUAUAUGCCGCCCGUCUU